AAUAGUCCAAAGUUAGAUAAAAUAGUAAAAGUUCAUUAUCCAAACCAUAACUCACUAGACGAUAUAAUACAUCAGGUUACUAAGAAACAAUAUCAAAAGAAAUGCAACUGAAUUACAAAAUAACCAAUGCUAUGCUUUAAAUUUCUGCUUUUCUUUUCAUUCUUCAAGUCAAGCCCCACAUGAGGUAGAAUUCAGAGAUCAUGUACCUGGAAAUAAGGAAAAAGCAAGAAUAAGUAAGGGAUCAGUAGGCAGCAGCAACAAAACAGAAUCCUAGAUUCAACAGUAGAACAUUGAAAUCAACUCAAGAGCAAUCAAUGAAACAGUAGAGGAAUAACAAAUCCAAACCCAGCUUCAAACUAAAAUUCAAGCCAUUUCUCAAACCAGAAGUGUAUCCAGUAAAACUUUCAAGUACUUUAGCUAACAAGGAGAAAUCAGAAAUCCAAACAAGCAGAAUUUUGGUAGUCUUCAACCAUGGAAUGUAGGAAUUCAAUUUUUUUUUAAAGAACUCAGCCAUUUCAGCUUUUGCAGCGAUUUUUUCUCUCAAAAAUCUGACUUGAGCUUCAUAGUGAGGUUGCCUUUAUAGGAAAGAUUUUUAGGGCUACGAAAAUGAGCUAAGUUCUGC
rnacentral:lncRNA from 1 species